ensembl:snRNA U6 U6 spliceosomal RNA
GUUUGUGUGUUUGGCAGGACAUAAACUAAAAUUGGAAUGAUACAGAGAAGAUUAGCAUGGCCUCUGCACAAGGAUGACAUGCAAAUUCAUGAAGCGUUGCAUAUUUUU